rnacentral:rRNA from 1 species
UACGUAGGGGGCGAGCGUUGUCCGGAUUUAUUGGGCGUAAAGAGCUCGUAGGCGGUUCGGUAAGUCGGAUGUGAAAUCUCCACGCUCAACGUGGAGGGGCCAUUCGAUACUGCCGUGACUCGAGUCCGGUAGGGGAGUGUGGAAUUCCCGGUGUAGCGGUGAAAUGCGCAGAUAUCGGGAGGAACACCAAUGGCGAAGGCAGCUCGCUGGGACGUGACUGACGCUGAGACGCGAAAGCGUGGGGAGCAAAUAGG